rnacentral:rRNA from 1 species
UACGAAGGACCCGAGCGUUAUCCGGAUUUAUUGGGUUUAAAGGGUGCGUAGGCGGAUUAGUAAGUCAGUGGUGAAAGCCUGAUGCUUAACAUCAGAAUUGCCAUUGAUACUGUUAGUCUUGAGUACGGUUGAGGUGGGCGGAAUGUGUCAUGUAGCGGUGAAAUGCUUAGAUAUGACACAGAACACCAAUUGCGAAGGCAGCUCGCUAAACCGUAACUGACGCUGAGGCACGAAAGCGUGGGGAGCAAACAGG